GACGAACGCUGGCGGCGUGCUUAACACAUGCAAGUCGAACGGAAAGGCCCUGCUUGUGUGGGGUGCUCGAGUGGCGAACGGGUGAGUAACACGUGAGUAACCUGCCCUUGACUUUGGGAUAACUUCAGGAAACUGGGGCUAAUACCGGAUAGGAGCUCCUGCUGCAUGGUGGGGGUUGGAAAGUUUCGGCGGUUGGGGAUGGACUCGCGGCUUAUCAGCUUGUUGGUGGGGUAGUGGCUUACCAAGGCUUUGAAGGGUAGCCGGCCUGAGAGGGUGACCGGCGACAUUGGGACUGAGAUACGGCGCAGACUCCUACGGGAGGCAGUAGUGGGGAAUAUUGCACAAUGGGCGGAAGCCUGAUGAAGAAACGCCGCGUGCGGGAUGAAGGCCUUCGGGUUGUAAACCGCUUUCGCCUGUGACGAAGCGUGAGUGACGGUAAUGGGUAAAGAAGCACCGGCUAACUACGUG
rnacentral:rRNA from 1 species